GGGUGUAGCUUAGUGGUAGAGCGUGUGCUUAGUGUGCACAAGGUCCUGGGUUCAGCCCCCAGUACCUCCA
rnacentral:tRNA from 1 species